rnacentral:rRNA from 1 species
UGCCGCGUGUGUGAAGAAGGCCUUCGGGUUGUAAAGCACUUUCAAUAGGGAGGAAAAGCUAUGCGUUAAUAGCGUAUAGCCGUGACGUUACCUAUAGAAGAAGCACCGGCUAACUCCGUGCCAGCAGCCGCGGUAAUACUGGAGGGUGCAAGCGUUAAUCGGAAUUACUGGGCGUAAAGCGCGCGUAGGCGGUUUGUUAAGUCAGAUGUGAAAUCCCCGGGCUCAACCUGGGAAUGGCAUUUGAGACUGGUAGGCUAGAAUGUGGUAGAGGUGAGUG